rnacentral:rRNA from 1 species
CUACCAUGCAGUCGAGCGGGACUAAGACUGACACCAGAUAUUCAGGGCAGCUGGUGGGGAAGAAAGAGCCAGUGAAGGUGAAUGGCUGGUGUUGGUUUUAGUUCAGUGGCGGACGGGUGAGUAACGCGUGAGUAACCUGCCUUUCAGAGGGGGAUAGCGUCUGGAAACGGACGGUAAUACCGCAUGACAUUCCGGUGCUGCAUGGUACUGGAAUCAAAGGAGCAAUCCGCUGGAAGAUGGACUCGCGUCCGAUUAGCCAGUUGGUGAGGUAACGGCCCACCAAAGCGACGAUCGGUAGCCGGACUGAGAGGUUGAACGGCCACAUUGGGACUGAGACACGGCCCAGACUCCUACGGGAGGCAGCAGUGGGGGAUAUUGCACAAUGGAGGGAACUCUGAUGCAGCAACGCCGCGUGAAGGAAGACGGUCUUCGGAUUGUAAACUUAUGUCCUCAGGGACGAUAAUGACGGUACCUGAGGAGGAAGCUCCGGCUAACUACGUGCCAGCAGCCGCGGUAAUACGUAGGGAGCGAGCGUUGUCCGGAUUUACUGGGUGUAAAGGGUGCGUAGGCGGCUGUUUAAGUCAGGUGUGAAAACCAUCAGCUCAACUGAUGGAUUGCAUUUGAAACUGAGCAGCUUGAGUGGAGCAGAGGCAGGUGGAAUUCCCGGUGUAGCGGUGAAAUGCGUAGAGAUCGGGAGGAACACCAGUGGCGAAAGCGGCCUGCUGGGCUCUAACUGACGCUG